UUUUGUGUUGAUUGUGUGAAAUAUCAGAAAAUGUAUAAUUCCAUGAAUAGGUGUGUUGAAAUGAAUUUCAUCGAUGCACUUGGUAUGUCUGAAGAGUGAAGGAGAAAGUGUUGAAAUGUUGGAGAGAAACGAUUACUUUUAUGGCACGCCAAAACAAAAAAAAAAGAAAGAACGAAUGAAAAAAAAAGGCAGCAGCGGGAUCAGAAGCUGCUGCUCGGGACUCAGGCUGAGGCAUGUCGUCGACUCCGAAAACUAUUUUGACAGAUGGCGGUUGGUGAUAAACGAGAACCCAGGAACGCUGAGAACUAGUUGCUGCAAGUUUGAGAAACCCAGAAAAUCCAUUAUUACAUGUUUAAGAAACCCAUUAUUACAGGUUAUAGAAACCCAAAGAAGCAAGAGGACCCAUUAUUUUAGGUCUGAGAAAUCCAGAAAACCCAUUGCUUUCUGGAUCCCAAAGAACCCAGAAAAUCGAUUAAUACACGUUCAAGGAACUCAGAGAACCCAAAAUUACAGGUCUAAAGAACCCCAAGAGAAUGGAAAAUUAUAACAGGUUAGAAGAACCGAGAGUACCCAUUAUUACAGGUCUGAGAAACCCAAGGAACCCAGAGAACCCAUUAAUACAGGUUAGAUGACCCCAAAGAAUCAAAAGAACACAUUAUUACAGCUCUGAUGAAACCAAAGAAAACGGAGAAUCCAUUAUUACAGGUUAGAAGAAUUUAGAGAACCCAUUAUUACAUGUGUGUGUGUGUGUGUGUGUGUGUGUGUGUGUGUGUGUGUGUGUAUUAAAAGCUGAUUUGCUCUCAUAUCUGGUACUUCAUGAAAAGAAACCAUGCUGCAGAUUGCUUUCAGUGAUGUCUGCAGUUGCUGAUCUUCAGAGGAUCCUCACUGAGUGAUGUGUGAAUCUAAAGCUGAAGACGUUUGAAGUGGCUGUCAAUCAAAACUUCUCCACCGUCUACGUCUACAAGAGCUUUGAAUUCUGGCACAUCGCAGAGACGUUCUGGCAACAAGAAAAAUUGUCUGCUCAACUUUGUCCUUGUGCCAGGUCUGUGUGUGUGUGUGUGUGUGUGUGUGUGUGUGUGUGUGUGUGUGCUGUACAUAUACUCCAUUUGGUCUGAGACGUUGCAUGUCUCUUUAGCUGGUGUCAAUGAGGAAUCAAAGACUGUCGAAAACACGAGUAUGUACACAUCUGCACUACUUUGAUUCCAUCAAAACAAAAUUCAAACCAAUUUCUUCUGAAACUGUAAUAACUGAUCCUAUAUAUCAGUAAAAAAUUCAAGUUUGGUUAUGAA